rnacentral:rRNA from 1 species
GAUGAACGCUGGCGGCGUGCCUAAUACAUGCAAGUCGAACGAAACUUCUUUAUCACCGAGUGCUUGCACUCACCGAUAAAGAGUUGAGUGGCGAACGGGUGAGUAACACGUGAGCAACCUGCCCAAAAGAGGGGGAUAACACUUGGAAACAGGUGCUAAUACCGCAUAACCAUAGUUACCGCAUGGUAACUAUGUAAAAGGUUGCUAUACUACCGCUUUUGGAUGGGCCCGCGGCGCAUUAGCUAGUUGGUAGGGUAAAGGCUUACCAAGGCAAUGAUGCGUAGCCGAAUUGAGAGGUAGAUCGGCCAAAUUGGGACUGAGACACGGCCCAAACUCCUACGGGAGGCAGCAGUAGGGAAUCUUCCACAAUGGGCGAAAGCCUGAUGGAGCAACGCCGCGUGGGUGAAGAAGGUCUUCGGAUCGUAAAACCCUGUUGUUAGAGAAGAAAGUGCGUGAGAGUAACUGUUCACGGGUCGACGGUAUCUAACCAGAAAGCCACGGCUAACUACGUG